GAAGUGAUGUUGCUGGGCGAUGGUUGACCCGGUCGUAAGGGAUCGAAAAUGAGUAGAGAAGUCAUCAUGGAAAGAGACAAGAAAAGCUGUAUGAAUAUCUUAGGUGCCCGUACCGCAAACCGACACAGGUAGAUAGGAAGAAGAUUCUAAGGCCAACGGGAGAAGGGUUGUUAAGGAACUCGGCAAGUUGACCCCGUAACUUAGGGAUAAGGGGUGCUCAAGUGAUUGAGCCGCAGAGAAUAGGCCCAGGCGACUGUUUUAGCAAAAACACAGGUCUCUGCUAAUCGAAAGAUGACGUAUAGGGGCUGACACCUGCCCGGUGCCGGAAGGUUAAGAGGAGAUGUGAGAGCAUUGAAUUGAAGCCCCGGUAAACGGCGGCCGUAACGAUAACGGUCCUAAGGUAGCGAAAUUCCUUGUCAGGUAAGUUCUGACCCGCACGAAAGGUGUAACGAUCUGGGCACUGUCUCAACGACCCGCCCGGCGAAAUUGUAGUACCGGUGAAGAUGCCGGUUACCCGCGACUAGACGGAAAGACCCCAUGGAGCUUUACUGUAGCCUAAUAUUGGAUUUCGGUAUUUCACGUACAGGAUAGGUGGGAGACUGGGAAGCACAGGCGUCAGCUUGUGUGGAGUCGACCUUGGGAUACCACUCUUGGAGUGCUGGAAUUCUAACCUGCGGCUUUGAAGCAAGUCGGGGGACAUUGUUAGGUGGGCAGUUUGACUGGGGCGGUCGCCUCCUAAAGAGUAACGGAGGCGCUCAAAGGUUCGCUCUGCAUGGAUGGAAACCAUGCGUCAGAGUGUAAACGCAAAAGCGAGCCUAACUGCGAGAAUGACGGUUCGAGCAGUAACGAAAGUUGGAGUUAGUGAUCCGGCGGUAUGUGAAUGGAAAUGCCGUCGCUCAACGGAUAAGCUACCCUGGGGAUAACAGGCUGAUCUCCCCCAAGAGUCCACAUCGACGGGGAGGUUUGGCACCUCGAUGUCGGCUCAUCCCAUCCUGGGGCUGAAUUCGGUCCCAAGGGUUUGGCUGUUCGCCAAUUAAAGCGGUACGCGAGCUGGGUUCAGAACGUCGUGAGACAGUUCGGUCCCUAUCUGUCGUGGGCGUAGGAUAUUUGCAAGGAGCUGUCCCUAGUACGAGAGGACCGGGAUGGACGCACCUCUGGUGCACCAGUUGUCACGCCAGUGGCACAGCUGGGCAGCUAUGUGCGGAACGGAUAAACGCUGAAGGCAUCUAAGCGUGAAGCCGCCCUUAAGAUAAGAUAUCCCUUCUGUUUACAGAGUAAGACCCCUUGAAGACUACAAGGUUGAUAGGCUCAAAGUGUAAGCACGGUGACGUGUUUAGCUAGCGAGUACUAAUCGGUCGAGGGCUUAAUC
rnacentral:rRNA from 1 species